rnacentral:misc_RNA from 1 species
GGAAAAAGAAAAUAAAAUAGUUACUUGCAAUAUGGUUAAGCAGCAGCCACCAUAGCUUAAGACAAGCAAACCCUUUUCAAGCAUAAUCAUGGCUACGUAGACUCCCAAGCUUAAGACAGCAAAACCGAGAUUUUUUACAUUUCCAUUUCUCCAAAGCUUAUCUAUUACCUUUUUUUCAGAUAUUGUCAGGGUUGACAUAAAACUUUUUAUCGA